AUCUCCUCCAGCAAGACCAUCCUUGACCAGCUGGAUAUGGCUCACAGGCUGGAGUUCAGGCUGAUCCUGACGCAGAAAUUUGCAUGUGACAUCCGUGUCAUUAGGUUUUUGAGGGAGAGGACGCUGGGAAACAGCCCCACACGUUUGGUUAAACAGCUGAAAGAAAACCACAGCGAGGAGUGGCUGAAGCGCCUCUGCCGAUAUCUUGGGGCAUGCUCUGACUUUGCAGCUCGGCCCAGCUUGCUCCCCGUCACAUUCCAGGAGCCUCUGAGCCAGUAGCAGUACCAAGUCACCGCUGGAUGUUGGCUCUGUAUGGGCCAGACAUUUUGAGCAGGCUGGACCACAUUAAAACCACAAUAACGUCCACAUUUGGCACCAUCCUGAAAAUGGACUCCACCAAAAGGUAGAUCAC